UACGAAGGAUGCAAGCGUUAUCCGGAUUCAUUGGGUUUAAAGGGAGCGUAGGUGGCCGUAUAAGUCAGUGGUGAAAUCUCUGGGCUUAACCCAGAAAUUGCCAUUGAUACUGUAUGGCUUGAGUAUAGUUGCCGUUGGCGGAAUAUGACAUGUAGUGGUGAAAUACAUAGAGAUGUCAUAGAACACCGAUUGCGAAGGCAGCUGACGAAACUAUAACUGACACUGAGGCUCGAAAGUGCGGGGAUCAAACAGG
rnacentral:rRNA from 1 species